CCCGCUGAACUUAAGCAUAUCAAUAAGCGGAGGAAAAGAAACUAACAAGGAUUCCCCUAGUAACUGCGAGUGAAGCGGGAAAAGCUCAAAUUUAAAAUCUGGUGGUCUUUGGCCAUCCGAGUUGUAAUUUAGAGAAGCGUCUUCCGCGCUGGACCGUGCACAAGUCUCCUGGAACGGAGCGUCGUAGAGGGUGAGAAUCCCGUCUUUGGCAUGGACACACCAGGGCUUUUGCGAUGCGCUCUCGAAGAGUCGAGUUGUUUGGGAAUGCAGCUCAAAAUGGGUGGUGAACUCCAUCUAAAGCUAAAUAUUGGCGAGAGACCGAUAGCGAACAAGUACCGUGAGGGAAAGAUGAAAAGCACUUUGGAAAGAGAGUGAAACAGUACGUGAAAUUGUUGAAAGGGAAACGCUUGAAGUCAGUCGCGUCGUCCGAGACUCAGCCUCGCCUCGGCUUGGCGUACUUCUCGGCCCGACGGGUCAGCAUCAAUUUCGCCUCUCGGAUAAUGGCGAGGGAAAAGUGACACCUUUACGGUGUGUUAUAGUCCCUCGUCGCAUGCGAGGGUCGGGAUUGAGGAACUCAGCACGCGCCCUCGGGCGUCGGGGUUUUCGCCCACGAUACGUGCUUAGGAUGCUGGCAUAAUGGCUUUAAUCGACCCGUCUUGAAACACGG
rnacentral:rRNA from 1 species